GUGCUUGCUUGGGUGGUACAUAUACUAAAAUUGGAACGAUACAGAGAAGAUUAACAUGGCCCCUGCGCAACGAUGACAUGCAAAUUCAUGAAGCGUUCCCUAUUUUU
ensembl:snRNA U6 U6 spliceosomal RNA